CCCUGAAAGAGUUAAUCAAACAGCAUUAAUAUGCCAUUGGAAUGUUGGUUUUUUUUUUUCCUUUUAGGAACGGGAGAGGAUUUACCUUGGUUUUAAAAAGAAAAACCACCACAAAGUUGUCCAUGUUGUCAGUGGCACUUGUUCGAGAUUUGCAUUGCUGACUACCGACCCCAAAAGAGUUAACCGAGUAGGUGUGACUAAGCAGCAGAGAAAAAGAUGCAAUCGUGAGAGGUUUGGAACCAAAGCAAAAAAACGGAGGUGAGGAGCAUUAAUAAAAACAAGAAAAGGGCAGAGGUGCAGAGUCCAGCAGUGACUGACUUUCUUGAUUUGACUGGCCCUGGCAUUGUUGGCAUCAGCUCUCCUGGGAAAGCUGCAGUUCCGCUGUUAUAACACAGGGAGCAGCCUGGAGAAUUUUGAGCUGCGUCACAGAGCUCUGAGAGAGAGAGUGAGAGAGAGAGCAAGCUCCCUCGAUAGGUCUACUAGCAACAGCCCUGCUGCAGCAAGGGGGGAGAGAGAGAGGCAGCAAGAGAGAGAGAGACAGAAGUAAUAACAUCAUGGACUGGGCUCCUGCAACCGGCCAGCUUAAUUUUUAAAAAAUUUAUUUUGGCUUAAUUGAUAUUGGAGGGUUCGCCCAUUGACGAUGCCGGAGACACGAUGCGUUUAAUCCCGCGGGGAGGGAGGGUGGGCAGACGUCGGAAGGGUUAACGGGAGGAAAAUUCUGGAACAUUCUAUUCUGCGGCGCUGCACAGCGAGCGAGCGAAGGGCUAAGGACUGCGCAGAUGUUUAACGGGCAGAGGUCUUCGGCUCGGGGUCCGUCUUUUCCACUUUCAGUUAUGCAAAGUAACAAAAAGCAAGGGAAGAAUGUGACAAACUCUUGGAGGUGGUUUGUUAUGUUAUUUAUGCAGAUAACACUGCCAGAACCAAGUAUUUCGUAGCUUGAAUUACUUCAGUGACAGAGAUCGAUCUUGGAAUAACUGUGCUCAUGCCCAGAGAGAGUUACCUUCCACAGCAGGGUGGACCAUCGACCACCUCCUGCAAGGUCAUUCUGCUGUCUCACCAUCAGCCACUAACAGUGCUGCCUGACCUCAUGGACAUCCUGUAUUAGAUGCUCAGGCAAGCCACAGACUUUGGAAAGAACCGCAUCAGCUAUCAGAGAUUCCUCUUUUCAUGAAAGGAAACUUGGAUUCCAGAGACAGAAAAGGCACUCUCCAGUGUGCACUGCUGAAAGUGCACAUCCUCACUGGUCCAUCCAGUCAGCCUCUAGUCUAACCAGCAGACACAGCGUCAUCCCUGGAAGACGUCCAAGAGAAGACCAUAGCUGGUGGGGAUGAAGAGUGCCCACAAGGCGGAACAGAAGCCCUGAAGUCUUCUUGCUCCAAGACACAUUUUCUUAGAUGAUGGUUACCAUACUGCAUGGUGCUAGCCAUAACUAUGGACUCUGGAAGAGGAAGGUGACGAGCAGAGGUUCUUUAGGGAAUGCUUUGGCAAAGAGGAGUGAAGACGUACAGAAGGAUCUAUAGAGGACAAGCAUGAAAUUAUUAUUUCUUUCAGGAGUGUGCUUCACAGCCUAGGACAGCUGUAAAGAAGGCUCUAUCUCCCACUCCCUCAGGUUUAUUUCUGGGCUUUUUUUGUGUGUUAAAUGGGCACAGGUGUGUCUUUAACAGAGGCAGGCAUUUAGGCUAGUUUGGGCUUGUCCCACUCAGCCAAGAAAGGGUUCAUCUUUUCUCUCCCAAGCCCAAGUGAAUGGUUUGUGUUUAAAAGUGAUCUGCUGAAACUUGAGGUGGUGGUAUUUUUUAUUGCAACGUAGAUGAAAUGAACUGACAAAUCUUAGUUUCAGGAUUUUGCAUUUCAGUGGUCUAACCCUCAACUAAGGAGAUGUUUUUAAUGGCUGAAAAGGGGCUGGUGGAGUUCCAGCUGGAAAAUCACUGGGAGAAGAAUGGAAUUAUACAAAAUAAUUUUAGUAAUGAGGCCCAGUUAUGUAUGGCUCUUCAUUACUUCAGCUUUUAGCAAACGAAACGGAGUGAUUCACCCAGAUUGGCAGAUUAGGUAGGAUAAAGGCAGCUAUUUUAAAAUAUAAAUUUCUAGGAAGUAACUGAAUAGGGAGACUUUUGGAACUCUGGGAAAUGUUAUUUUGGGAUGGGCCUUAGGAGGAGUACCCAAGCUGAAAAGCUAAGUGUUAUUUUGAACAUUAUUCAAAGCCAGUUUAAAAAACUUGAACCUUGCUUGGUUAGCCAGCGUGGAAGUAGUCACACCAUGUUGGAAAUGUGUUUUGUAAUGGUUUUUAUUGUUCUGAAGAAACUGGGUUGUCCUCCCCAAAUUACAGAAUAUCAUUCAUUCCAUCAAGGUAUGAGAGCAACUGUAGUGUAUGAAAACAUAGACUCAAAUGCCUUUAACAUUAACAACGGGGUGAAAUGGGUUUGUCUUACUUAGCCCCUGGGCUCUUUAACAUCUACUACAUCAUUCCUUCUUCUUCAUGCAUUUAAGGACAGCAAUGAUGGCAUUUAUUUGUGAACUAGACUAGAGGGAGGCUUGUUCAAUAUCACUCAGUUUAGAGGGAAAGCCAAGGAGAGAAAGCUGGUUCUGAGAGAUUUCCCGUUUGCAGGAGACGCAGCCUUGGUUACCCACAGUCAAUCUUCCCUGAAAAAUCUCUUUGGUAGAUUUUCUGUGUUAUGCAAGAGCUUCGGCUCUUCGCCUUAACAGUUAGUUUCAAGAAGACUGAUUGUAUACUGAAGGGUGGAAGAACCAAUACCUGACAUCACUCUGGAGGGUAAAUCUCUUGGCAUCGUCAACAGCUUUUGCUAUGAUUGGCAGGAAUCUUGACCCUCAGACUGAGCUAACAGGAUUGGAAAAGCAGCUAAGAAUUUUGGGCUGUUAGUCAACAGUUUUCUGUUAGUCCAUGCACGUUUCUCUGAGGUGAAGAUGCGAAUCUAUGAGAGCACUUGUGUGCUGUCAGAAAUGUGGGCUACAUGUGGUGGGCACAGCAGGAGACUGAAUAGCUGUCACAUGAGAUGCCUACACAAGAUCCUGGAAAUUAAGUGGGAAGACAAAAUACCAAACACAGAAGUGCUGGAGUGUGCAGGACUGACACACACAAACCACUAUCAAGAAGAGGAGGUUGCGAUGGCUCAGUCAUGUCGGAAGACUGGGAGGAGACCGUAUCCCCAAGAAUAUUUUGUAAAGCGAGUUUUGAGAUGGCUCUAAAUAGUGGUCGCCUUUUAUGGUGGUACCACAAUGUGUGCAAAAAUUAUGUGAAGUCGUUCAACAUCAGCGUAGAAAGCUGGGAGGAGUGAGCAGAACCCUGUCCAAUCUGGAGGGACACUCUGGCAAUGGGUGCAGCUCCUCAUGAAGCAGCUUUGACCCAGAGGAUGAAAGCAAAGUGAGAAAGAAGGAAGUGUGCUGUAAUCUUGGACUCCAACUCAGACAACGCAUGGAUCUGAAAUUUGUAACAAGCUGUGUCACUCUCGCAUUGGACUUGUCAGCCAUAAGUUGAUUCAUCAAGGCACAUGACUGGAUCAGUGGUUGCCUAUGGUAGGUCAGUGUGGAUGGAUCUGAACAAUGUUCUGUCAAACGCUAUAAUACUUCCUUUUAGUUGGAAGUGUCUUCAGUUUAAACAGCUGCAAACGUGGUUUAAAGAUAGGAGCCUACCUACAUUGGGCUAAUGAUCCUUACAUGCUGUUUGGCUCUUUUCAGUUUCCAGGACAAACAGGGGCUCAGUAAUAGAAGAGUAUUUAAUGCUGUCCUAUUCACGAACCUACAUUUUGAGACCGUGACCAUUUUAGCAACAACAACAAAAAAAAAUUGACUUAACGUUCUGUAGUUAAGACAGUGUCUUCCAUUAAGGACAAAGAGUGAUUAGUAACAGGAUAUUUUGGGAGACGGGAGAGAUUCCAGAAGACUGGAAAAGGGCAAAUAUAGUGCCCAUCUAUAAAAAGGGAAAUAAAAACA